rnacentral:rRNA from 1 species
UACGGAGGAUCCGAGCGUUAUCCGGAUUUAUUGGGUUUAAAGGGUGCGCAGGCGGGAGAUUAAGUCGGCGGUGAAAUUUUGCAGCUCAACUGUAAAAGUGCCUUCGAAACUGGUUUCCUUGAGUGUAGAUGAAGUAGGCGGAAUUUGUGGUGUAGCGGUGAAAUGCAUAGAUGUCACGAGGAACUCCGAUUGCGCAGGCAGCUUACUAAACUACUACUGACGCUCAGGCACGAAGGCGUGGGGAUCAAACAGGAUUAGAUACCCCCGUAGUCCCU